GCUGCAAAGAAGACGGGACGCCUUGCCGAAACACAUGGCAGCACUUUUUUAUCAGUGAGAAUUGCACCGAGUUUUUCUGAUGCUGCUAUGCACAUCAUUGCAGUAGGAGGAUACAAAAAGAUUUGCCGACAAACAUUUAAGAAUGUUCUCGAAGAACAUCUUUAGAACUCUUUUCAAUGUUACCUGUCAACCUCAGUGACUGAUUACCUAUUUUCUGAACAUGUUUCAGGUUUCCGUUCAACGGCAGAAGUCUACCGGAGAGAUUUUUCACGGCGAGACCUUUAGUGACAUGAUUCACAAUCACCGGGAAGAGAAUUGCUAGUGAAAAAAAAAAAUUCAAGCUUUAACAAGUCUCUGAUUUUGUUAUGGAUCAAACCUGUGAGUUUCACAGAUGUUAAGAGAGAAGUAAUAGACUUUAGCUUCUGGGGAUGAAUUGUCAGUAACAGAGCUUGAAAUUCUAUGGCAUGUAGUUGUAUCUCCGAUAAUUGCCUCACAUUUCAUCAUUGUCAAGGAUUUGUCUCUACGAUGUUCCUGAAAGGUAAAGCCGUUUUCCAUGAGAGGAGAGCCUGACCUUCUUUAUUUAUAUGGAGAAACGUGGGAUGGAAAUAAAGUAGAAGAGUUUAGGAAAGGAUGAAGAAAGAACAAAAAAAAAUGUGUGUUAUGUGGGAAUCUUCAUAUGAGUCAUGAGUCUCUUACACAUAUUUUUUAAAUAAAAUUGUGAAUUGGUUUAUAUUUCUCUCUCAGGUUGAACAUGUGGCGAGGGAAGAGAUGGUCAUAUUCAGUCCUCUCAUUGUUGUUAAGGUUAUAUGUAUCAGGUCUGCAAUUCAUGUUAUCUAAUAUAUGAUGAAAUUGGUAUUAAAACUGCAAUUCCUGUUAAGUUUUACAUGCAAUUUGUUUAACCGCACAUGUGUUAAUAUCCUCUCAAGUCGCAGCUUUUAGCUGUUAGUUACUUAGUUCAACUUCAAGUGUUACAUUAUCUUUUCCACUAGCAACGUUCUUUGGCACCAGUGAGACUUGGGAAGAGAUAACGUGUCGUGUUUGAUAAUAUAUAAAUAAACUCAAUAAUAUAGAGGUGUAUAUUGAGAUACUCUGGUUUUACUUUAUUUUCUGGGAUUGGAGUUGACAUUUUUUGUAUGUUUAGAGGUUUUUGAAUGGCUAUAAACAAAAAAAAAAAACUAAACACAUUUGUUCUACUUCUCAAUAUGAUUACAGGACCCGGCAAAUCCAAUGGCUAUUCAGUGUGAUGAGAAGCACUGUCAUCCUCUUGGGUAAGAAAGCAUUCAGCUGUGGGGAUAAAUGAGAUGCUAAUGCGCAAAAUGUACAAGCAGUAAUGUGAUCAAUAAUGAUUUUAAAGUCAUUUUUCCAACUCUCUCAGACUAUGAUGUUCGAUAUUAUUAUCUCUCAACUUCUAAAGGUAAGCGACUAAUUUCUUUUUGAAUCCUAGACUGUGCAUUCUCCGGGUUUGUAUUACUCUCCUUCAAAUAUAAUAUUUUAUUGCUAGGGGAGGUCUCUAAACAUGAUCGUACAUGUUACUGAUUUAGUGAAGAUUCUCACUGAUUCCUUUUCAUCCCAGGUUUUCUCUUUCUAUGUGAUUGAAGAGCUCGACAAAGCUUCACUGAAGCGGAAAUAGCUUGAACGGUCUGAAGUAAAAAGCAGUCUUCCAUUGUGGAUAGUAUUUAAUGGCUCCACAGAUCCCAUGUUCUCUAACUGUGAGUAACAAUGGAUGCUUGGAGAAGAUGGUGAGCAUUUGCGCGGAUCAACGAGGGAAAUUGACGUCACCUCUGUUGUAGUCAUGAUUAUCAUCGCCAUAGCCGCCACUGGAGUCGUAAAUACAGUGGUAGGAGGAGGAUAAGAAAAGGGGUUAGGGUGUUGGAAGACUGGCGUUGAAGAUAGGUGUGAGGGAGAGAUAUACGGAGAGAAGGAAUCAGAAAUUGCGGGAGAGAAGAGAUGACGCUGUUGUUUUCCUCUACAGAUUUCUAGUGAUGGAUAAGCUUCACAACAUUUUAUGACUCUCUGUCUCUUUUGAUUCGGCUCACUUCUCCUAGAAAAGUUUUGGGUUUGUUCCACGAAGAACCAACGUAGCAAAUUCGCUUAAAACAAAAGAAAUGAUAAAAGUAUAUGUUGCAGGUAAAUACAACAUGAGUCAGAAAAGUAUCAUGCAGAAAUCUUAUAUCUUUUUCUAGAUUAAGUCAUGGACCUGAAGCUCCAUGAAUAUGACGAUGUUCAUUGGCUUCACCACUGUGGAUGUAUUUUAUCCCCGCUUCCUAUGCUGAAGAUAAAAAAGAUAGCAUUUUAGUCAAUGAAAAAAGAACGCCAGAUGCAUAAUCAUGAAUGCACCAGUCCAUAACGUUCAAAACAUCCAUAACCAAUGUUUUUUUUUUUCAGAUGUUACAAGCAAGCCCGCAGCAGAAGGAUAUAAACCAGACUAUAGAAAAGAUAUUAAAUUUUUAUUUUGUCACUCACUCAAUCAGGAACAAAUUUACGAAGAAAUACACUAAGAAAAAAAUGGACAAACAAAAAGAGAAGAAAUUACAAAAGAUAGGGAUGAUGACUACAAUGUGUGUAUAUAUAUGUUUUUAUAAAAUUCUUUGUUGAAAUAGAUUUGAGAUUUAUUUAGCAAUUGCAUUUGUGGUGGAUUUGAUAAGUAACAACUAAAUUUAGUUUGGCCUUCCCAACCAACUGAACACUAAUUUAAGAAGUUAUUUAAUUAAUUACAUAGAACAACUGAAUAGGACAGUUUCUAAGUUUAUGAAAAGAUUAACACAAUAAAUUAGAUUGUGUCCUAUGAUAUCACAAAAAAAAACUAUUUUAUAAGUGCAUUUACAACCAAAAAGGGAAAAAAAAUUCAGUAGUAAAGAAAAAAAAAGAAAGUUUAUUUAACAAGAGAUGAUGAGGAGGACGAUGCCAGAAAAGAAGAGCAUAGGUUCCUCACUUAGUAAGCAUGAGUGAGGGAUUUUAUUUUUCGGCAAAGAAGCUUAGUUUAUUUCUGAAAGAAAAAAUGUCAUGUUUUUCAGAGAAGCCCGAUUUUUUCUUUGGUUUGGUUUUGUUUAUGUCCUAUUCUAAUUUGUAUUGUGUUCUCAUGAACUAUGCCCCGGUUUGGAGGACAAUACUCUUUUGUAGUUUUGGUCAAACUAAGUUUUGGUCAAACAAAGUUUGCCUAGCUGUAAACUUAGUUAGACCAAUGAACUUAAUUUCUCAAUUGAAAUAAACCAAGUAAGAAGCCAGUUAAUAUGUUGGUUUGUACUUUUUUUUUAGGACAGAAGACCUAUAAACAUGAGCUCAAUAAUUCUAAAGUCAUAACAAUGGCUACAUCAUUUAUAAAUUUAUAUCAAUUAUUUUACAUCAAAAUAAUUGAAAUAAAAUAGAUUUCUGAACAUUACUAAAGUUUAAUAACUAUCAGUACAUUUUUCUGACCAUACUAUAUACAAUUUUCAAUGUAAAAAAAACACAACUAAUUGUGAGUUUUAACCAUUUUGAAUUCAUUGAAAAAACAAUGAAUACAAAAAAAAAUUAAUUUUUUUAUUAUUUUGUAACUUAUGAUAAAUUCUAAUGUACAUUUACAAAUACAAAUGUUAAGUUAUAAAUAUUAAAACUAUAGACAAAAAUCCAGGCGUAGCCCGGGACAGUCCCUAGUUGUAAUAAAUUGUCAAUAAUAGGAAUAAACUAACACCAAAUCACAUCAAUUAAUUUGAUUCUCUCUAUCAUCGUUCACUUCAUUUUUUUAGGUGGCAUCACAAAUAUAAAAUUGAAAAUGGAAAACCUAACUUUUUUUUUGUCAGCACCUAACUUUUUAAUUGAAAAUUUAGAAUAUAAAGCAUAAUCUAAAAACUAAAAAAUGAGUAAAAGUUAUUUAUUGGUUCAACUAGUGGUUCAACCGGUAUCGGGUUUUGGGUUUUAGUGAGUUUUUGCAGAUUUCUAAAUAAUGAGUUUUUCAUAAAACCCAAACUGAAUUUUUUCUGGGUCACCGGAUUUAUCGGUUCAACCGUGGGUCCGGGUGAGGUUUCAAAACAUUGCAUGACAUUAUGUAUUAAGGCUCCGAAUGGGAAUAGCGGAUUGAGCGGUGCGGGACAAGCAAUGUUUUGAAACCGGUUCUGACAGUUAUAAAAACAUAUAGAUAUAUGGUAUAUGCAAAGAUUUUUGUUACUGUUAACUGCGGUGCGGUGCGGGAAAAAUGUUACUAUUCGAGCCUAAGACAUAGUGGGAGUACACAUUUAAAUUUCAUUUUUUUUAAAUCAUAGGGUCAAACAGUCCUACUGAAUUGGUCCACCACUGCUCCCACGGUCCCACCUAAUAUGAUCACCUUUUCGACAACUUGUGGUUUCCAUAUUUACCAGUUUUCACACUGCUUUUCUUUAGUUUCUUCUUUAAGUAACAUAAAUCCUUUUAUUUUCAUCAUAAUAUUUACUUUAUAUGUUCCUAUAUAAAAGAUCUUUUAAAGCUUCCAUACAUAAGAAAAUAUAAUAAAUAUUUACAAUUAAUUUAAUAUUUAUUUUUACUAUACAGUUUCUAAUAAUUAUUAGUAAAUAAAAUUUGGAGACAAUUGGUUGUAUAUACUUUUUAAGAGGCAAUAUUAACUAAAUAUCCUAUGCACUUUAAAACCUCACUUCACUGUAGAAUUUUGUUCAUAUUUUCCCAUGAUACAUACCUCUCUAUAUACGAUUUUAUUAGAUUUGGUAUCUCUAUUUGUAGACUGAUAGGCCUCUAUUUAUUUUUAGGUGUGCCAACACACUGAUUCUAAACCACAUAAUUUAUUUCUUUAAUAAUAUAUCAUGUUCUACACUAUUUUCCAUUGCUGUCAAUGAUCACCAUUUCUUUCUUCUUCUAACUCUUCAUCAACAUACUUUUCAGUUUUUUCUCCUUUCUUUUACGUGUGUUGAUAUUCUCACAAGUGAUCAACUUUUAUCAUACAACCAAUUUAUUUUCUACUAUCGAUUGAGAUUUUUUUAUUUUUUGAGAUUUAUUUGAUAAGCUAAUUUAUUUCACCUUUCUAGUUGAUGAAUGAUUAUCUUCCUUUUUUCAUAAGUAAUUUGAAAUUCAAGAGAAUAGAAAGAUACAAGCGACGAUGUUUACGAAGUCUAUAGAGCCCGAACUAUUAAAAAGGAUUUGUGUUGAAGAAGAAAUUGACAGAAUUUGGAAGAUUAGAUCGUCAUAUCCACAUUUGUAUUGCAAUUUUAUGAGACUGAUAAAAAACACACUGUUUUAUUUAUUAACGAUAAGUUUGAAUGUAACAGCUAAUAUGUUAUGUUAUAUAUACAAUAUAUUAUAAUAUUUAACUUUGUUAUUGGAUGUGAAUAUUUUGAACAAUAUAUAACAAUAUAAUUUAGCGGUAACACAUUAUGUUAAAUGAAACUAAUUUGUGAUCAUUAUGUAUAUUAGAUAAUGUAUACCUUUUUAUGAGAUUGGCAGGUAAAUGUAGAUUUUUUAUUUAUUAACUAGAUAUGAAUACGCAAUGUUCAAAAAAAUAAACCGGUUCAAUGUCCAGACCAGGGUUAAAAAUAUUGAUUUAAAAAUAUUUUUUAUAAUAUAUAUAUAUAUAUAUAUAUAUAUUAAAUGUUAUAAAAAAUAU